AGACAAUCCUCUCAGUUGUUGUAAAGGUAAGCAUGAGCAAAUCACUUUUUAGAGGUAACUUUGCUGGACUUGUGAAGAAUGGUGUGCAAGGUCCAGAGCGACUGCAGGAGAGGGAAGGUGGGAUUCCCACAGAGCAGGAGCACAGAUGAGCCAAGCAAGGCCCUGCUUAGAAGGCAGCAAUCAACAGAGAUGCACAGACCUGUGAGGGUGCCGGGACAGCCAUGCAACAAUGCAGCCCUUUUGCUUCCUAAGCUCACCAGUUCCCUCGCUCCACCUCUGAGAGGUGGUUUGGAGAAACACAGCCCUUCUCAAGAGGUUUGCAAGAGCAGACCACAAAGAGCAUGUCUGGACCUAGAACCACAGCAUGUAACCUCGGAAGCAGUGAGACACCAGCCAGCAUGGACAAGCAGCAGGCACUUGAUCUAUACCAGGUGAGGGUGUGGAGACAUGACGUGGUGCAGGGACACCAGCACCCAGUCCUAGUUCUGGUCCCUCUCAGCCUUGUUAGGUCCUGGUUCCUAGGAUUCCAGGGAACAUCCCC
rnacentral:lncRNA from 1 species